rnacentral:tRNA from 1 species
AAAGAAUUAGUUAAUUCAUAACAUAAAUAUGUCAAAUUUAAAUAAUUAUUUAAAAUAAUAUUCUUUU